rnacentral:sRNA from 1 species
GCAGCUUGUAAACCAACCCCUCGUGCCAC